UGAACGCUGGCGGCAUGCCUUACACAUGCAAGUCGAACGGCAGCACGGGUGCUUGCACCUGGUGGCGAGUGGCGAACGGGUGAGUAAUACAUCGGAACAUGUCCUGUAGUGGGGGAUAGCCCGGCGAAAGCCGGAUUAAUACCGCAUACGAUCUACGGAUGAAAGCGGGGGACCUUCGGGCCUCGCGCUAUAGGGUUGGCCGAUGGCUGAUUAGCUAGUUGGUGGGGUAAAGGCCUACCAAGGCGACGAUCAGUAGCUGGUCUGAGAGGACGACCAGCCACACUGGGACUGAGAUACGGCCCAGACUCCUACGGGAGGCAGCAGUGGGGAAUUUUGGACAAUGGGCGAAAGCCUGAUCCAGCAAUGCCGCGUGUGUGAAGAAGGCCUUCGGGUUGUAAAGCACUUUUGUCCGGAAAGAAAUCCUUGGCUCUAAUACAGUCGGGGGAUGACGGUACCGGAAGAAUAAGCACCGGCUAACUACGUGCCAGCAGCCGCGGUAAUACGUAGGGUGCGAGCGUUAAUCGGAAUUACUGGGCGUAAAGCGUGCGCAGGCGGUUUGCUAAGACCGAUGUGAAAUCCCCGGGCUCAACCUGGGAACUGCAUUGGUGACUGGCAGGCUAGAGUAUGGCAGAGGGGGGGUAGAAUUCCACGUGUAGCAGUGAAAUGCGUAGAGAUGUGGAGGAAUACCGAUGGCGAAGGCAGCCCCCUGGGCCAAUACUGACGCUCAUGCACGAAAGCGUGGGGAGCAAACAGGAUUAGAUACCCUGGUAGUCCACGCCCUAAACGAUGUCAACUAGUUGUUGGGGAUUCAUUUCCUUAGUAACGUAGCUAACGCGUGAAGUUGACCGCCUGGGGAGUACGGUCGCAAGAUUAAAACUCAAAGGAAUUGACGGGGACCCGCACAAGCGGUGGAUGAUGUGGAUUAAUUCGAUGCAACGCGAAAAACCUUACCUACCCUUGACAUGGUCGGAAUCCCGCUGAGAGGUGGGAGUGCUCGAAAGAGAACCGGCGCACAGGUGCUGCAUGGCUGUCGUCAGCUCGUGUCGUGAGAUGUUGGGUUAAGUCCCGCAACGAGCGCAACCCUUGUCCUUAGUUGCUACGCAAGAGCACUCUAAGGAGACUGCCGGUGACAAACCGGAGGAAGGUGGGGAUGACGUCAAGUCCUCAUGGCCCUUAUGGGUAGGGCUUCACACGUCAUACAAUGGUCGGAACAGAGGGUUGCCAACCCGCGAGGGGGAGCUAAUCCCAGAAAACCGAUCGUAGUCCGGAUUGCACUCUGCAACUCGAGUGCAUGAAGCUGGAAUCGCUAGUAAUCGCGGAUCAGCAUGCCGCGGUGAAUACGUUCCCGGGUCUUGUACUCACCGCCC
rnacentral:rRNA from 1 species